rnacentral:sRNA from 1 species
UGCGUGGUCUUUUGGUGGGUUAGGCUCUUCGUUCAGGUGAUCUUCCGCUUGGGGAUUCCCCUGUUCGUAUAUUGUGAGACAACGACUACAUCUAGCAGGGAGCAUAUCGACCAAGGUCUGCGACGAUGUUCCUGUAUUAUGCGUGAAAGAUACGUUCUGCUGGCAAGUCACGGAGUCGCAUUUGGUGCUGCUCUCGUUGUCGAAGUCUUUUAGGUUUCCGUCUUCACUUUGGCUUAGUGACAGUUCCAUUCUAGAGCAAUUUGUUGUUAUUCUCGGAGUUAUUCCGUUACAGUAUUCAUCUGUGCGAAUAUUUCCAUGUACACAUUUUCCGUUUGCAGUGUCAGUUUCGAAACAGCAACUUCGAUUUGGCGUCUUCAACCAGCCCCUUAGGAUCACAGGGGAACAUAACUCCGCUAGCGCUCUGACCUUCCGCAUAUCAACUCGGCUAACUCGGCAUCCGCAU